rnacentral:rRNA from 1 species
ACCCGCUGAACUUAAGCAUAUCAAUAAGCGGAGGAAAAGAAACCAACAGGGAUUGCCCUAGUAACGGCGAGUGAAGCGGCAACAGCUCAAAUUUGAAAUCUGGCCUUCGGGUCCGAGUUGUAAUUUGUAGAGGAUGCUUUUGGUGCGGUGCCUUCCGAGUUCCUUGGAACAGGACGCCUUAGAGGGUGAGAGCCCCGUACGGUUGGACACCAAGCCUCUGUAAAGCUCCUUCGACGAGUCGAGUAGUUUGGGAAUGCUGCUCUAAAUGGGAGGUAAAUUUCUUCUAAAGCUAAAUACCGGCCAGAGACCGAUAGCGCACAAGUAGAGUGAUCGAAAGAUGAAAAGUACUUUGAAAAGAGGGUUAAAUAGCACGUGAAAUUGUUGAAAGGGAAGCGUUUAUGACCAGACCUUUGCCUGGCGGAUCAUCCGGUGUUCUUCACCGGUGCACUUCGCCUGGCUUAGGCCAGCAUCGAUUUCUGUAGGGGGAUAAAGACCAUGGGAACGUAGCUCUCUUCGGGGAGUGUUAUAGCCCUAGGUGUAAUGCCCUUACGGGGAUCGAGGUUCGCGCUUCGGCAAGGAUGCUGGCAUAAUGGUCAUCAACGACCCGUCUUGAAACACGGACC